rnacentral:lncRNA from 1 species
UUUUUGAAUUAAGACCCGUGUAGAAUAGAGUGUAAAAUCUCAAAGGUCAGCCACUUGAAAUAUUUCAGCGGUCAGCCACAAGCAUCCUCCCAUUUCCUAAGGUGGAUCCCGUGUUGGGAUCUGUAACUUGGCUUCACAAACCUGAAGUGCAGGACUCAAAUGCGAGGUUGUCUGCAGAGCCAGCUGUUGCCAGAAAGACCACAGCUUCUAAGCUGGCCAGCCCGGGAGGCCCCUCAGAUCUGCCAUUUCCUUGCGGUCCAGCUUUCUCCGUCUGUUUCCUCAUCUGUGGGUUGGAGAAAGUGAAGUAGAGGUGAGCUGUGGAGGAUUCAAUGACCAUUGCAUCUCAGCUGUCCAGUCCAGCACUGCUUCCCUAGAAACCACGCAGGUCACAUGUGCCACGGACACUCUCUAGUAGCCAUGCUAAGAAUGGUAAAAAGAAACAGGAAUCUGUGCCAUCCCAGCCAGGGGACAGCAAGUGACCAGCAGCCACUCCCAUGGCGCGAUGUUAAUCACCUAUGCCUCGAGCGUCCCUCCGAGGGACUUGGAUUCAUGGUUCCGGCCCAUGCCCUGAGUUCUGGAAUUACUUUCUUUCCUCCUUGCCUGGCUGUUAAAAUGCCCAACGCUCUAACUUUAACUUAACUUUCAUCCAGGAAGCCGGAGUGAAUCGAAUUAGACAUAACCCAGUUUUUCACUUCCUGGCCCCUGUGACCCAAGCCAGUGUGUUCAGAAGCACCCGAGGAGCCGGCGCGAGGCUGAAACCGCGAGUAUUUCUAAAGCCGUGUGUUUUUGAACACUUGAACCCACGCAGAGCCCCACCAGAGCACCUCAGUGGCCUCUGAAGGGAUGUCUCACGUGUGGCUUCCUGAGCCCUUGCCGGUUCUCAACUUUCUCCCAAGACCUUGGGUGCACAAGGAAGUCCACCCACUGAGCUGCUGGUCUCCAAAGCACCCAUGAAGCGGAAAAUUGAGGCGAAAUCGCAGAAAACUCGGGUAAACCUCACAGCUUGACUUGCGCUUCUGUUGACUAUCACAAGCCCAGAGCAACACAGCACAGGAGUGGCAGGCAAGGCGGAGAAGAUGGGAUUGAGCCCUGCGGGACGACCUAGAAGGAGAUGGAAGCAGGGCCUGGGCGCUCCGCCUGAGCAGGGCUGGGAGGGUGACGCCAGAGGCUCCCUCAACAGUCCCACCGCUCUCGCGGCUCUUCCUCUCCGGAACGAGGACAGCGCGGGAUGGGUGCCGUUUCGUCUCGGGGCUGAGGGGACACUCGGAAGCCGUCCGCCCGCCCUGCCCAGAGCGUGACCCUCCCCUGGUCCUGCCCAAAGUGCUUCUGCGGCCUCUUCAAGCCUCCCUGGCCCGCAUCUGCCUGCCUGUGCAAGACAAGGGGCCCCAGUCUUCUCUUCUGCACAGGAGGGGUCUCAAUUCCUACCUUUAGGUUGGGGUGAGGGUUAAAUAAAUUCGGUGUCUGACUUUUUGCUUUGCCGGGCGGGGGGCUGGCCCAGGGCCUCGGGCCG